AAUUAGAAAGCGAAUUAUUGCAAUUAGUUUCGACCUAAGACUUAGGCUAACAGCCUUCUAAUUAU
rnacentral:tRNA from 1 species